rnacentral:misc_RNA from 1 species
AUCUCUCACAGGACCACUUGAUUGAAAGUCGAGUGGUCACUGUCGGUGUUGGAGUUUGCGGAGCGUUUGACGCCCGCUUCUCUCAAAUGAAUCGGUGCGGCCCGCUGCACAGUCUACAACGUUCUAGGUUCAUUCCAACUCGUUGCUCGACUGUCGCUACUACUGGUUGCUGCACCUAAAGCCCGCCUCGUGCCUCGCGCUCUUGGUAUAACUUCAUU